GGCGGUGUAGCUCAGUUGGUCAGAGCAUGCGGCUCAUAUCCGCAGAGUCGGUGGUUCGAGUCCACCCACCGCCACCA
rnacentral:tRNA from 1 species